rnacentral:rRNA from 1 species
GAUGAACGCUAGCGGGAGGCUUAAUACAUGCAAGUCGAACGGUAAGGUCAGAGCUUGCUCUGAUACACGAGUGGCGAACGGGUGAGUAACGCGUACACUACCUACCAUUAAGUGGAGAAUAGCCCCGGGAAACUGGGAUUAAUACUCCAUAAUAUUGUUUAUUACUAAGCAAUUAAAGCUCCGGCGCUUAAUGAUGGGUGUGCGUACUAUUAGAUUGUUGGUGAGGUAACGGCUCACCAAGUCGACGAUAGUUAGGGGGCGUGAGAGCGUGACCCCCCACACGGGUACUGAGACACGGACCCGACUCCUACGGGAGGCAGCAGUAAGGAAUAUUGGACAAUGGGCGAAAGCCUGAUCCAGCCAUCCCGCGUGCAGGAUGACGGCCCUAUGGGUUGUAAACUGCUUUUAUUUGGGAAGAAACGCCUGGAUUUAUCCGGGCCUGACGGUACCUUAUGAAUAAGCACCGGCUAACUCCG